UUAUCAAAAACAUCACCUCUUGCCUUAUACAUAUAAGAGGCCCCGCCUGCCCGGUGACGAAAGUUUAACGGCCGCGGUAUUAUGACCGUGCAAAGGUAGCGUAAUCACUUGUCUUUUAAAUGGAGACCUGUAUGAAAGGCGACACGAGGGCAAAUCUGUCUCCCCCCUCCAGUCAAUGAAACUGAUCUCCCCGUGCAGAAGCGGGGAUACAACCACAAGACGAGAAGACCCUGUGGAGCUUCAGACUUUGGUAAGCCUGCCUCAACCCCUCUGACAAAGGAGGGUUAACACAGCAUCCCCUUAUUUAAAUGUCUUUGGUUGGGGCGACCACGGAGAUAAUUUUAACCCCCGCGGGGAUAGGGACUUUCCUAUAACCCAGAGCUACAGCUCUAAGUGUCAAGACUCUUGACCUUCUAUGAUCCGGCCCGCCGAUCAACGAACCAAGUUACCCCAGGGAUAACAGCGCAAUCCUCUUUUAGAGCCCAUAUCGACAAGGGGGUUUACGACCUCGAUGUUGGAUCAGGACAUCCUAAUGGUGCAGCCGCUAU
rnacentral:rRNA from 1 species